AAGUCUUCGGACUUAGUGGCGCACGGGUGAGUAACAUGGGGGAAUCCACCUAAAGGUUCGGAAUAACUGCGGGAAACUGUAGCUAAUACCGGAUGUGUCCGCAAGGAGAAAGAUUUAUCGCCUUUAGAUGAGCCCGCACUAGAUUAGCUUGUUGGUGAGGUAACUGCUCCACCAAGGCUACGAUCUAUAGCUGAUUUGAGAGGAUGAUCAGCCACACUGGGACUGAGACACGGCCCAGACUCCUACGGGAGGCAGCAGUCGGGAAUAUUGGACAAUGGGGGAAACCCUGAUCCAGCAAUGCCGCGUGAGUGAAGAAGGCCCUCGGGUUGUAAAACUCUUUCAUCAAUGAAAAUAACGACAUUAAUUGAAGAAGAAGCUCCGGCUAACUCCGUGCCAGCAGCCGCGGUAAUACGGAGGGGGCUAGCGUUGUUCGGAAUUACUGGGCGUAAAGCGUAUGUAGGCGGAUCAAAAAGUUAGAUGUGAAAUCCCUGGGCUUAACCUAGGAACUGCAUUUAAAACUAGUGAUCUAGAAUUUGGUAGGGGUUAGUAGAAUUUCCAGUGUAGAGGUGAAAUUCGUAGAUAUUGGAAAGAAUACCAGUGGCGAAGGCGACUAACUGGGCCAUUUUUGACGCUGAGAUACGAAAGCGUGGGUAGCAAACAGGAUUAGAUACCCUGGUAGUCCACGCAGUAAACGAUGAGUGCUAGUCGCUGGGUCAAUAGAUUCAGUGUCGAAGCUAACGCAUUAAGCACUCCGCCUGGGAAGUACGGUCGCAAGAUUAAAACUCAAAUAAAUUGACGGGGGCCCGCACAAGCGGUGG
rnacentral:rRNA from 1 species